rnacentral:lncRNA from 1 species
UAGUAACAUAGCUAGUAACAUUUUUUUUUAGUUACAGUAACAUAAUAAGUAACAUAUGUUUUUACUUGUAGUGACAUGUGUUUUAGUUGUAGUAACAAAACUAGUAACACUUUUUUCUAUUAGGAGCAACAUGGUGUUUUGAGUCCACUCUGGCCAGCCCACUCCACAUAGUCGUCUAUAUGGGCCAAGCCCAACAAUUUAACUCAUUUAUGAAGUAAUUUUUAGUUAUACUCUGGGCAGCUAACUGGACCAACAACAUAGUUUAAACCCGUUUAUUUUCUUUGCUUUAGGCCAUGGCCUUUCUAUAGUGUUAUUUGAUCCGAUCCAUUUCAUUUCUAUUUUGUUUUUUCAGAUUUUCCAAUUAAAAUACAUACAGUCCAAUAUUGUUUAUAAUUGUUGUUCGCGUUGUUUGGGACUGCUAUUUUCAACCUAGUUACAUAUAUACAUCAGGCCCAUAUUCAAAAGUUUGAUUUUCUGUCAACAAUUAUGCAAAGAAAUACAUAUUUUAACACAAAAUACAUAC